AUUGAACGCUGGCGGCAUGCUUUACACAUGCAAGUCGAACGGUAACAGGGUGCUUGCACCGCUGACGAGUGGCGAACGGGUGAGUAAUGCGUCGGAACGUGCCGAGUAGUGGGGGAUAACGCAGCGAAAGUUGUGCUAAUACCGCAUACGUACUGAGGUAGAAAGUGGGGGACCUUCGGGCCUCACGCUAUUCGAGCGGCCGACGUCUGAUUAGCUAGUAGGUGAGGUAAAGGCUCACCUAGGCGACGAUCAGUAGCGGGUCUGAGAGGAUGAUCCGCCACGCUGGGACUGAGACACGGCCCAGACUCCUACGGGAGGCAGCAGUGGGGAAUUUUGGACAAUGGGCGAAAGCCUGAUCCAGCCAUGCCGCGUGUCUGAAGAAGGCCUUCGGGUUGUAAAGGACUUUUGUCAGGGAGGAAAUCCCUAGUGCUAAUAACACUGGGGGAUGACAGUACCUGAAGAAUAAGCACCGGCUAACUACGUGCCAGCAGCCGCCGUAC
rnacentral:rRNA from 1 species